rnacentral:rRNA from 1 species
GUCUUUAAAAUUAAAAAAUUUGGCGGUAUUUUAGUCUUUUCAGAGGAACCUGUUUUUUAAUCGAUAGUCCACGAUUAUUAAUACUUUCUUUUUUAAUUUAUAUAUCGUCGUUUAAUAAAAAUUUUAGGAGAUAAUUUUUUCAGAUCAAGGUGUAGUUUAUGGGAAAGUUAAAAUGGGUUACAAUUAAAAGAUAAAAUAAAUUGGAUUUGAUAGUAAGCUCUAAAAUAUGCACAUAUCGCCCGUCGCUUUCAUUUUAAGGUGGAAUAAGUCGUAACAAAGUAGGCUUAUUGGAAAAUGAGCCUGGAGCAAAUUAGAGCUUGAUAAGUAUUUUAUUUACACUAAAAUGAUAAUUGUGAUUCAAUUUAAUUUGAAAUUAUUUUGUUAUUAGUAAGUAUUGUUAUCUUUAUUUGAUUAUAGAAUUUUAAUUUUUAUUAAUUUUUUGAAAAAUUAUUAUUAUAGUUUAUUUGUAUUGUGAAAGAUCUUGUUUUUUUAGAAGAAAGAAAAAUUUAUUUUUUGUACCUUGUGUCUCAGGGUUUAUUAAAUGAUUAUCUCGAAUUUAAAAGAGCUAUGUUUAUGUUGAAAAAUAAUUUUUAAUAAAAAUAUUGAAUUGAAAUGUUAUUCGUUUUUAGGUAUAUCUGGUUUUUUAAGAAAAUAAUUUAAAUAGGUCAUUUUAUGUUAAGUUUAAAUGGGAUAAGCUUUUGAUUAUAAUGAAUAAAAAUUUUGUAGAAGAAUUUUUAAAUAGGAUUAGAAUUUUUCAUUUUUUAUAUUAUGUUAUAUUUAAUUUAUUUUUUUUAUUAAAAUAAUAAAUUUAAUUUUUUUAUUUAUGUAAUAAUGAUAAAAUUAGUAAAGUUAAGGAAAGGAAUUCGGCAAAUAAGUUUUCACCUGUUUAAUAAAAACAUGUCCUUUUGAUAAUUAUUUAAGGUCGUACCUGCCCCAUGAUUAAAUGGCCGCAGUAUUUUGACUGUGCAAAGGUAGCAUAAUCAUUAGUUUUUUUAUUGGAAGCUGGAAUGAAAGGUUUGAUGAGAAACUUACUGUCUCUGGAAUUUUAUUUUUGAGUAAAAAAGCUUAAAUUUUUUUAAAAGACGAGAAGACCCUAUAGAGUUUUUUUGCUGGGGUGGUAAAAAAUUUAAUUUAACAUUG